GCGCAAUCCCUUGCCCUUUAAUUGUGGGCAUGUAUGAAUGGAUAGACGAGGUUGGCCCUGUGUUCCCAAUUAGUUGGAAUUUAAUAAGUAGGAGAAGAAGCCUUUAUUUUACUGAAAGACAAGAAGACCCUAUCGAGCUUGAUCUAUGGGCGGAGGGGUUUGUUGUUAGGUUUGGUUGGGGCAACCCCAUUUCAUUGGAGCACUUAUAUAAAAUAUAAGGCUUUGAGCUUUCUAAUGACCUCUACUAGGAUUAAAGGACACAGCUACCGUAGGGAUAACAGGCUAAUUUCUUUUAAGAGUUCAAAUUGACAAAGAAGUUUGGCACCUCGAUGUUGGCUUAGGGUCCCCUGUAAGAGCAGGAGCUUACAAGGUGGGGUUGUUCACCCUUUAAAACCCU
rnacentral:rRNA from 1 species